GAUGAACGCUGGCGGCGUGCCUAAUACAUGCAAGUCGAGCGAACAGACGAGGAGCUUGCUCCUCUGACGUUAGCGGCGGACGGGUGAGUAACACGUGGAUAACCUACCUAUAAGACUGGGAUAACUUCGGGAAACCGGAGCUAAUACCGGAUAAUAUAUUGAACCGCAUGGUUCAAUAGUGAAAGACGGUUUUGCUGUCACUUCUAGAUGGAUCCGCGCCGCAUUAGCUAGUUGGUAAGGUAACGGCUUACCAAGGCAACGAUGCGUAGCCGACCUGAGAGGGGGAUCGGCCACACUGGAACUGAGACACGGUCCAGACUCCUACGUGAGGCAGCAGUAGGGAAGCUUCCGCAGUGGGCGAAAGCCUGACGGAGCAACGCCGCGUGAGUGAUGAAGGUCUUCGGAUCGUAAAACGCUGUUAUUAGGGAAGAACAAAUGUGUAAGUAACUAUGCACGUCUGGACGGUACCUAAACAGAAAGCCACGGCUAACUACGU
rnacentral:rRNA from 1 species